rnacentral:lncRNA from 1 species
CUUAUGGGCUGUUUAGUAUAAUGAAAUGACUGUUUUGAUAUUUGAAAUAAAUAAAUAUUAUUGCCAAAGGAUGAAUGUUACGAAAAAGCAUAUCUUGAAUACCGUAAAAUUUCAUCAAAAUCCUGAUUUGGCUUAUUUUCUAGUCAACUGUAUCUCUAGCCCAACUAAGAGAUAUUAUGAAUAAAGAUAGAUAUAAGUAUCCAACUAAA